rnacentral:rRNA from 1 species
AAUAGAUACCCCGGUAGUCCACGCCGUAAACGAUGAGUGCUAAGUGUUAGAGGGUUUCCGCCCUUUAGUGCUGCAGCUAACGCAUUAAGCACUCCGCCUGGGGAGUACGGCCGCAAGGCUGAAACUCAAAGGAAUUGACGGGGGGCCCGCACAAGCGGUGGAGCAUGUGGUUUAAUUCGAAGCAACGCGAAGAACCUUACCAGGUCUUGACAUCCUCUGCCAACCCUAGAGAUAGGGCGUCCCCCUUCGGGGGACAGAGUGACAGGUGGUGCAUGGUUGUCGUCAGCUCGUGUCGUGAGAUGUUGGGUUAAGUCCCGCAACGAGCGCAACCCUUGAUCUUAGUUGCCAGCAUUUAGUUGGGCACUCUAAGGUGACUGCCGGUGACAAACCGGAGGAAGGUGGGGAUGACGUCAAAUCAUCAUGCCCCUUAUGACCUGGGCUACACACGUGCUACAAUGGAUGGUACAAAGAGCUGCGAACCCGCGAGGGUAGGCGAAUCUCAUAAAGCCAUUCUCAGUUCGGA